CUUCGAAACAGUUUUGUGUUGCCUUUUCUUUCAUUCUUAUUUUCGUUGGGUUUUUGUUUUGAGUGAGUGAUCUGUUGAUCUCCACAUUUGUCCCUGUCGCAGUCGACUACUCUACACAGCAACAUAAUGACGUCAAAGUUUACCUUCAUUCUUUUGUUAUCUGCAAACAUUGGAAAUGUGUGAUGCUAUUCAGGAGUAUGGACUGAUUGAUAUUCUCUACUCGAUCGUAAUUAAUUAAACAACUUAUAAUUCAUUCCAGAAUCGUUGAUAUUUACGACUAACGAGAACAAGUGGUCCACAG
rnacentral:lncRNA from 1 species